rnacentral:tRNA from 1 species
GAGCCGGUAGCUCAGUUGGUAGAGCAACUGACUUUUAAUCAGUAGGUCCCGGGUUCGAGCCCCGGCCGGCUCACCA